rnacentral:rRNA from 1 species
UACAGAGGUCUCAAGCGUUGUUCGGAUUCAUUGGGCGUAAAGGGCGCGUAGGCGGCGCGGCAUGAUGCCGGUGUGAAACUCUGGGCUUAACCUCGAACUGCAUGCGAUACUGCCGUGCUUGAGGACUGGAGAGGAGACUGGAAUUUACGGUGUAGCGGUGAAAUGCGUAGAUAUCGUAAGGAAGACCAGUGGCGAAGGCGGGUCUCUGGACAGUUCCUGACGCUGAGGCACGAAAGCGUGGGGAGCAAACAGG